rnacentral:lncRNA from 1 species
CCCAGGUGUGCCUGUGACCUUGUUUCCGAGGGACCUAAAAAGCUUCGCUUCAUAUUGACAUCCUCCCAGUGACAGAGGAGUACAGGAAAUGAUGCAGGUGCAAGGUGCUUACAGUCCAGAGGAAAGGGUGUGAAGCAAGAAUGAGAAAGCCUGAGGGAACCAUGCAGAUAUCCUAGCCAGAGCCUUCAGACCAAGACAAUCGAACAUCCCUGGAUAUCUGAGAUAGCCAGCCUUUCUUCUGGAGAGCUUCCCAGGUAACCAGCAUCCGAAACCCCAGCUGCUGUCUCCAUGGUGAUCAGGAUACCCCCUGUGAUGAAGUCUUGCUCUGUCGCCCAGACUAGAUUGCAGUGAUGUGUUCUCGGCUCACUGCAACCUCCGCUACCUGGGUUUAAGCGACUCUCCUGCCUCAGCUUCCAGAGUAGCUGGGACUACAGGUGAAAAUACACUCUUCAGGAGGAAUUAUUUUUUGUGGAGGAAAUGUCUCUCUUCCUAUGGAUGCCCAGCCUCUGCCCUUGUCUUCUGGACCCCACCUCCUUUCUACCACACAAGG